rnacentral:lncRNA from 1 species
GGAACGUCUAAUGGAGUGGACUGGCUCUCGAUCUCAGCAGUCUAAGAGAGGCUCGGAUGUUUUUGAGGUUGCUGACGAGUCCACUGUUGUCGGAUGUCUUGGGCGCUGAUGCUGCAGGCGAAAGUCAUCUACUGUAAAAGCUCGGACGGAGACUUUCUAUUGGAGAAGUCUGAUAGGAGUCUGAUUGCUAGAGAAGUCUGUC